rnacentral:rRNA from 1 species
CCUACGGGGGGCAGCAGUGGGGAAUAUUGCACAAUGGGCGCAAGCCUGAUGCAGCCAUGCCGCGUGUGUGAAGAAGGCCUUCGGGUUGUAAAGCACUUUCAGCGGGGAGGAAGGCGGUGAGGUUAAUAACCUCAUCGAUUGACGUUACCCGCAGAAGAAGCACCGGCUAACUCCGUGCCAGCAGCCGCGGCAAUACGGAGGGUGCAAGCGUUAAUCGGAAUUACUGGGCGUAAAGCGCACGCAGGCGGUCUGUCAAGUCGGAUGUGAAAUCCCCGGGCUCAACCUGGGAACUGCAUUCGAAACUGGCAGGCUAGAGUCUUGUAGAGGGGGGUAGAAUUCCAGGUGUAGCGGUGAAAUGCGUAGAGAUCUGGAGGAAUACCGGUGGCGAAGGCGGCCCCCUGGACAAAGACUGACGCUCAGGUGCGAAGGCGUGGGGAGCAAACAGGAUUAGAUACCCGGGUAGUC